CAGCCGCGUAAUUCCAGCUCCAAUAGCGUAUAUUAAAGUUGUUGCAGUUAAAAAGCUCGUAGUUGAAUUUCGGGAUCAAGGGAUCGGUCAUGCCUUGGUAUGUACUGGUCUUAUUGGUUCUCACCUUCUAAAGAACCAUGAUGUCAUUCAUUUGAUGUUAUGGGGAAUUAGGACUGUUACCUUGAAAAAAUUAGAGUGUUUAAAGCAAGCUUACGCUUGAAUACAUUAGCAUGGAAUAAUGAAAUAGGACAUCAGAUUCUAUUUUGUUGGUUUCUAGGAUCGAUGUAAUGAUUAAUAGGGAUAGUUGGGGGCAUUAGUAUUCAAUUGUCAGAGGUGAAAUUCUUGGAUUUAUUGAAGACUAACUACUGCGAAAGCAUUUGCCAAGGAUGUUUUCAUUAAUCAAGAACGAAAGUUAGGGGAUCGAAGACGAUCAGAUACCGUCGUAGUCUUAACCAUAAACUAUGCCGACUAGGGAUCGGAUGAUGUUAAUUUUUUAAUGACUCAUUCGGCGCCUUACG
rnacentral:misc_RNA from 1 species